rnacentral:lncRNA from 1 species
UUCCUCCUGACAAAUACGGCACUCCGUCAUCUGCAGAAGAGGUUCUUCUUCAGGAACCAUGCUGUCUCCAACUGCAAAAAAGGAAUGCCCUGUAAUGGGCAGUGCAGUGGUGUCCCUCGAUGAGGAGCUCUUGGGUGCUCCAGUGACCUCAAUGGGUUCAGGCACCAUUAGGCGAUCAACAUUGAGCAUUAGAUGAUCCUUCACCAUUGCUACUAAGUAACAAAUUUUUGAACAAAAGAACUCUUUUUAAGAUCCUGUUAGAUCCGCUCAGAGUCCAGAAUCUGAUUGCUAAAUAAAUCUUAGUGUCCUGCUAGGAAGAGAGAAAAAAAAAGAUUCAACAAAUGACAUGAUUUCUUAUAAACACUCACAACAGAAUAGUCAUGUAACAGCAAAAAACCUACAAUUCAACAAUUACGAAGCGGAUGAAGAAAUUUUCCUAUUCCACAAUGAGGCACACCAGCGUCCUUGGUGAGAGAUAAGAGGCACCAAAUAUUCGAGCUCCACCUUUCUGCACAGAAGUUAUGCUUUCAGUAAAAACAGGGACUAUCAACGUACAACGAGACUCAAAUGAAGCAAUCAAGUAAGUUCAUAAACAAUGUUUCUACUUUCCCCAAACACUUUAAACCGCUUACUAUAUGAAAAACAACUUUGUUCUCCAAAUAGCAGUGUCCAUCCCAACAUUUUGAAGAAAUACACAUGUUUCCACAAAGAUUGGCAGACCAAUCUUUGAUAGUUUUCUUCAAGAUGGACUCAGAUAUAAAUCAUAGGCAGUGGAAACCAAUAUACUCUCUCCGUCCCAAAAUAACUGUCUCAACUUUAUACUAGCUCUAAUACAAAGUUGUACUAAGCUUAAGACACUUAUUUGGGAUGGAGGGAGUAGUAAAAUAAUGGAUAGUAGCAAAAGAAAUUAAAAGCAUAGCAUUUCAAUGCUCCCAAAUUUUAAUCACAGAACCACAUUCCUAGCACAACAAUCAUACAAAUGUAUCAUACGCACCGCUUGUGCCAAUGAAAGACAGCUUGAAACCUACAACUUACUAUGGCUAAAAACUGCCGUUCAAAGCGGCGGAAUGUUUGUUUCGCCCAAUCUGGGUUGACGAGAACUUAAGAUGCUCCCACCACCGUCCUCAAUUUUAUCAACCAAGAGAGUAUGCAAGACGAGGGAUGAAAAGACUAACACUCCAAUAACCAUGUCUCCCAAGGAAACACUAUCUAAUACCCCAACCAUCUAAUACCAACUGCAUAGAGCAGAGCGCACCCCAACCAAAAUUUCUGCGCUGGAACUGGUUUCCUAGUACGCCUUUUGCCCUUUAGACAGCGAAACGUCGCCUAAACCAUCAAACCCAGGCCCGGAUUCGGGCGAAACGAGACGCACCGACAGCCUCCGAAUCCCCAAUCGCGGAGCCCCCAGCGCCGCAAUCGACCACCACCGCACCGAAUUCGCGGAAAUUCCCUUCUCCCCCUCACGAAAUGCCGCAGCCGACGACCGAUCCCGCGCAAAUCAACGCGGCAGACCGCAGGACCGAAUCUCGCCUCCCCCCCACCCACCCCACGCCAGAAAUCCCAACGCGGCGCGACGCGGCGGCCGAAUCGAAAGAAAUCGCAGGUAAAAAACCCGGGGAAAUGGAGGGAUUUGGUUACCGAGGGUAGAACUCCCAGCAGCCUAGCGCGGGCUCCGGCCUCCUCCUCGAUCUCGCCGCGUGCGGUGGGCGCUGCCAAUAUAUGCCGGCAAUCACGACGGGGGCGGGGCCCGCGGGCGGGUAGGUCGCCUCCCACGCAGCGCGACCGCUCGGCUCGGCCCUACCUGGCAGCGAGAGUGGCCAGCCUACGGCGCCCCUGGCCGCGCAGCGUCGUUCAACAAGAAACGAGAAUAAAAUACGGGAUUUGUGAUGCUAGAAAAACUUAUUCAUAUGGAGUGAGUGUGAUGAAAAGAGAGGGAGGGGGGUGCGGGAGAAAAUUUAUUUUUAUUGGGUGGUAGGUUUGGCGCUCACCCGGGCAGGCACCGGCGCUCCCUUGUAAAUGGUGAUGGGGGGACGGGCAGCCCCUGGGAGGUAGGAGCCAAUAUUGGGACAAACCAUCGUGUUUACCAUGUGUCGAGGCUUUUCUUGGCGCGUCCCUGCAAUAGCGUUGGUUCCUCGACACGUUUGCGUGGGACGUGCUAUUAUGAGGAUGUGCAUGCUCCUAUUUUUCGCAAGGGUGGAAAGGAUGAUGUUUGGAUUUGUGAUUCUUUUCUUUCAAAUGCACCCCCUCCGUACCUAGAUAUAGGACGUUGUGCAUUGGUAAGGAUUGUUUUGGCAAAGAACAAAUGUUAGAAAAUGUGCGGCUUUUUUUAAUGUGAAAAUAUAUAAAAUUGAGGGGAAAUGCUCGACAGAACCUAGGUCGGUGUAAAUCCACUUUUCUACUAACCGUAGUGGAAAUUGUGUUGCUAAGUUCUCGAAGAUCGUGAAAAAAUCAUAUUUACAUAGGGUUUUUUUUGAAACGAAGGCAAAAGUUUUAUCUCAUCGAUUAAUUAGGAAGAAGAAAAUUGUCCAGUUAAUUUACGAAAAACUGGGUGAAAACCAAUACAUCCGGAACAUGGCAUAUGGCAUGGAACCCCAUAACGACCGACCAAACUCUAGAAGUACACAACAUCCACAAAACCUCACACUGCUACCGCGCCAAGUGACUACCGACAAGAACACCCCGACACAAGACAUCAAGCACCUCCCAACGCACAAUGACAACCCAAUCCAAGAGAACGGGUCGAGAGACCGAAGAUCAUCCAUCAAGUCGCCAGGGACGCCUUGCCUUUGGCGCCACUCUUACCUUUGCCCAACUUUUUUUUGUUGCCCCUUAUUGGUGUCCCCGUUAGGAGGCAAGCAAUCGACCUCCCCAAACCAGGUCUAGCAAUCUCCACACUGGCUAGCAAGUCACAAAGUUCCUUUGCGAAGAGAUCAUUUGGAUUUGGAGUAGGUGCCAAUACAAGUGGCUCAAUUGUCAUGCCACUCACAGGCAUUACCUGCCCAAUGGUGGCAAACAAGGGAAGGGUAGCAACAUCUAAAACUCCGUUCUCCACGACGUCGAGAGGUAAGUUGUUGACGCCUCACAAGGCUCCACGGGGGAUGGUGAGGACAUCAGGUCCACAUCUGAAGUUUGGAAAGAGCCCAACCGGAGUUGCUUCAUCGGCAGAGGCGAAACGGGUUCCUCACACAACACGUGUAGCUCUCGCAUGAUUUGCAGCACUGGAGACACAACCUCGACUAAGGUCUCAUCCUCAAUGUCCGACAACAUAGGGGGCGUCAAACUAGGCCCAACACGGGGCGAGAAGUUACCAAAGAGCUCCACACCCGCCUCAUCCACGAAGCUAACAACAGACUCAACCAUGGGAGCCGGUGCAAGAGGGAGUACAUCCUCGAAGCUAUCAUCAGGCACAUCAAACUGACGUGAUACAUGAGCGGCUUGCAGUACAUGCGGUGCCAAGGAAAGCCUGUCCAGUGCAGCCUCAUCUCGUUGCAAGAAGCUCCUCAUUCGCAGCAUCCAACUUUGCAUGGAGUCAACAACAUCGCGAACAGGUUGGACUAUCUCCUCAAGCUAGAAGGGAGCCAUGCCAAGUAGCUCGGAGCGAAACAUCUCGGUCCACCCCUCCAAGGCGGAUCGCAGUAGCAUAUCUGGCGAUGUCAUAGAGCCAGCAGGAGCGGAAACAAUCGACGCCCAAGAAUCACGAAGAAACAUCCUGGAGAGCAGUGGGGCUUCUAUCUGCCUGUCACGAGGAGUUGGAACUUGACGAUGUUCGAUGGUGAGGCGAGGCAACAACGGUGCUGAAGGGUUUGUCAAGAAGCUGAGAGGCCGCCAGGCAUUACGGCACCCGCGUGCAUGGUGACCAUUCUCAAGACACCGAGAAUACCUAAGGGGGUCUUUGCAACUCGACCCGUGAUGACCAGGAACGAGGCAUCUGUAACAACGACCAUGAAGCCAAGCGGGAAUGGGUCGGGGAGCCAAAGCUGGGUUGGCGAUGCCGGACAAUGUGGACCGCAUCGCGGUGGCUCCACCCACCAACCCCUCAUUGACAUCAGCCACACGCCCCACGUCCACCUCGUUGGAGUCGAUGGCCAUGAAGGCCAACUCUCCUACAUCGCCAUCCUUGUUGUCAUCGAGAGUAGAGGUCCACAACAUGGACUUUUCAGAGCAAGCAAGCACAAAAGAGUUGCUUCGGAGCACGAAGGGGCCAGAUCCGACAACACCGUCCAGAGGAGUGAACUCUGCAUCCAGCUCUGGAGGGGCACGCAGCUACCUGCAUGAGGGGUCAAAGUGUGCCGAAGGCAGCGCUCGGGAUGGCAGCAACACGUUUAUGGAGGCACCGACAGAGGGAGAGGUCGAGGCCGUCGGAUGGGCAGUGAGCGUCGCUGAUGGAGCCGCGGACGUCAUCUUCGCAGGCAGGGCAGUCGGCAGCAUCCCAUCCCACAGGUUGGGAAAGGGCACAAUGUGGUGAUGUCCAUCCCCAACAGCAGCGACAUGCGACAUGGCAAGCGCCGGAGUCACGAGGUCCAUAUUUGUGUUGGUUGGUGCCUUAGUCGUGCAGGGUUGCUUGCUCCAGGCCAAAAGUCCACGUACCGCCGGGUUAGCCUUUCGGGAGGCGAGGAAGGCCACGGCGACACCGUUCGAAGAGGGCAGGGCAGACGAGCGGGGGCGGUGGUGGCACUGGCCAGAGUAGCCAAAGACGCUGGUGUAGCCACCGUCGUCGGAGCAGGCGGAGCAAUGCCAGGAGGUGAUAGAGUAGCCGGAGCGGACGGCGGCUUCCGAGCAUGGGGAGCCAUCUCGGACAACUAAACCGGGAGGGAAAUCGGGGCAGAGAAGAGUGCACGCGAUGAGGAUGCCGGAUUUGGGCUCGCCACACGCAAAGCACGCAAGAGCUGAGAGAUCAAGGCGACGGCCACGGAGCUACCUGCGGGAGAGCUUUCGCCAUUAUCGCCUCUCGUUGUAGGUGUACGCCCCUUCCUCAUACAUAGGUCUUGAAAAGGUACUUACCCACUAAAACUUUCAUACAUAAUUACGGCCAUUUUGCGAUGUGCGGUGAGUACAAUUGUUUUCACGCACAUCGCAAAUAACCAUAAUUUUGUAUGAGAGUUUUUGUGGAUUUACCACACUUUCUACUAAACCAGCAACAAUUAAUAUGGAUUGAAGCGAGAAGCUUUCUUGUAAUGAAAUGUAAGAAAUCUACAAUAUAGGUUUAAAAACUUGUAUCAUAACUUCCCCAUUCCCUAAAUACAAAGUAAUCACAAUUAAAGGAUUAGAAUUAUAAAACUAUUUUAUGCAGAUUAUUUGAUUUGUAGAAUUGAACCGUGUGCAACUUUUACUUGAAGAUUCUUCAUACUAUAUUUUAAAACAUUGUCCCCAUUUUGUAUCAAACAUCUUUUAACAAAUCUUUUUUCUGUGAUACAGUCAAACAAAUUUCUGUGCAAUCAAUCAUGUCAAAUCCAAGUGGGCAUGAUAUAGUAAACUUACAUUUUUCUUAUUCAUUCAGUUUUCCGUCUCAAGUUGUCUAUAUUUCGGGCCUCGACCCAUAUUCUCAAAAGCAACUUGCCCUACAUCCAACUUUGACUAGAAGAUGUAAACCCCACACUACCGCCGUCUCCCCGAGAGGCGGCCGUGCGCAUCCCCCCUCCCUCCAUCAACCCUCCUCCUCCCUACCCUACGCCCCUGCCGCCGUCGGUGGACGCCCUCGGAUUUGGCCUGGGUGGUGUUGGCAAUGAAGGGAUCUCCUUGUUAGGGAACGUAGCAUGGGAAACAAAAAAUUUCCUACGCACACGAAGACCUAUCAUGGUGAUGAUCAUCUACGAGAGGGAGAUCGGAUCCACAUACCAUUGUAGAUCGCUAAGCGGAAGCGUUAAUAAACGCGGUUGAUGUAGUGGUACGUCUUCACGAUCCGUCCCAUGAACCAUCUUAAGAUCCGUCCCACGAACCGUCUCCAGAUCCGUCCCACGAUCCGUCCCGAUCAAGUGCCGAACGGACGGCACCUCCGCGGAACGAUGGAGAACUUCACGAUUCCAGAAAGUCUGCAAGGGUUUCCUCUCGGGACUCCAAAUAUAGGCCAAAGAAGGGUACCGGAGGAGGUGGGACCCACCCAGGCGGCCUCCUAGCCAGCAGGUCGCCUGGGAGGCCCCUGCCCCCCCUCUGGCCCAUCUUCGGUGAUCUGGAAGCUUCCGUUUCGCUGAUUUUUUAUAUAAUUUUUCUGGAAUUUUUCAGGCUUCGGAAAAUUGGGUAAAAGCCCAUGCAAAAUAGACAUCAGCAGACAGAAACUUGCACUGGGUGCACUGAGUUAGUAGGUUAGUCCAAAUAUGUGUAAAAUGAUAUAAAAGUGUGGCAAAACAUAUAACAAUGUCACCCAAAAGAUCAUGGAACAAGCGAAAAUUAUAGAUACGUUCGGGACGUAUCACCAUUCUUUGUGGUGCUGCUAUGUUCUUCCCCAUCCCGGCUUGCGGCGUGCACCGUAGGUCGUGGCAGUAGGCCUUCGAAACUCCAUCUCUUGAAGUCCUGUACAGGGGAAGGGCGAUAAGGAUUUUGGGGAGCGCUCAGCGCGACUACUGGCUUUCAUCAUGGACACCGACGACCACUUCCCGGACGUCGAUUUCUUCCCGACGUCCACCACUUCUUCGGUAACAUGUCUAAUGACAACGCCAACACUGUUGGAAUUAUGCCCUAGAGGCAAUAAUAAAUGUAUAGUUAUUAUUAUAAUUCCUGUAUCAAGAUAAUAGUUUAUUAUCCAUGCUAUAAUUGUAUUGAAUGAAGACUCAUUUACAUGUGUGGAUACAUAGACAAAACACCGUCCCUAGCAUGCCUCUAGUUGGCUAGCCAGUUGAUCGAUGAUAGUCAGUGUCUUCUGAUUAUGAACAAGGUGUUGUUGCUUGAUAACUGGAUCACGUCAUUGGGAGAAUCACGUGAUGGACUAAGACCCAAACUAAUAGACGUAGCAUGUUGAUUGUGUCAUUUUGUUGCUACUGUUUUCUGCGUGUCAAGUAUUUAUUCCUAUGACCAUGAGAUCAUAUAACUCACUGACACCGGAGGAAUGCUUUGUGUGUAUCAAACGUCGCAACGUAACUGGGUGACUAUAAAGAUGCUCUACAGGUAUCUCCGAAGGUGUUAGUUGAGUUAGUAUGGAUCAAGACUGGGAUUUGUCACUCCGUGUGACGGAGAGGUAUCUCGGGGCCCACUCGGUAAUACAACNNNNNNNNNNNNNNNNNNNNNNNNNNNNNNNNNNNNNNNNNNNNNNNNNNNNNNNNNNNNNNNNNNNNNNNNNNNNNNNNNNNNNNNNNNNNNNNNNNNNGGAGGUUGGUGAUGAUCUCGUCUCAGCAGGGCUCCGCCCGAGCUCCGCAGAAACGCGAUCUAGAGGAAAAACUAUGGAGGUAUGUGGUCGGGCAGCCGUGAGAAAGUCGUCUCAAAUCUGCCCUAAAAGCCCCAUAUAUAUAGGAGGAGGGAGGGGGACCUUGCCUUGGGGUCCAAGGGAACCCCAAGGGGUCGGCCGAGCCAGGGGGGAGGACUCUCCCCCCCNNNNNNNNNNNNNNNNNNNNNNNNNNNNNNNNNNNNNNNNNNNNNNNNNNNNNNNNNNNNCGUCUCAAAUCUGCCCUAAAAGCCCCAUAUAUAUAGGAGGAGGGAGGGGGACCUUGCCUUGGGGUCCAAGGGAACCCCAAGGGGUCGGCCGAGCCAGGGGGGAGGACUCUCCCCCCCAAACCGAGUCCUACUUGGUUUGGUGGGAGGGAGUCCUUCCCCCUUCCCACUUCUUCCUUUUUUUUCUUUCUUCCUUUGAUUUUUCUUCUUUGGCGCAUAGGAUUUGGUGGGCUGUCCCACCAGCCCACUAAGGGCUGGUGUGACCCCCACAAAUACCUAUGGGCUUCCCCGGAGUGGGUUGCCCCCCUCCGGUGAACUCCCGGAACCCAUUCGUCAUUCCCGGUACAUUCCCGGUAACUCCGAAAACCUUCCGGUAAUCAAAUGAGGUCAUCCUAUAUAUCAAUCUUCGUUUCCGGACCAUUCCGGAAACCCUCGUGACGUCCGUGAUCUCAUCCGGGACUCCGAACAACAUUCGGUAACCAACCAUAUAACUCAAAUACGCAUAAAACAACGUCGAACCUUAAGUGUGCAGACCCUGCGGGUUCGAGAACUAUGUAGACAUGACCCGAGAGACUCCUCGGUCAAUAUCCAAUAGCGGGACCUGGAUGCCCAUAUUGNNNNNNNNNNNNNNNNNNNNNNNNNNNNNNNNNNNNNNNNNNNNNNNNNNNNNNNNNNNNNNNNNNNNNNNNNNNNNNNNNNNNNNNNNNNNNNNNNNNNUACACGAGGACGAGCAGGAGUUAAGCUUGGGGAUGCUUGAUACGUCUCAAAUGUAUCUAUAAUUUUUCAUGGUUUCACGUUGUUAUCUUGUCUUCUUUGGAUGUUUUAUGUACCUUUUAUAUAUUUUUUGGGACUAACUUAUUAAUUCAGUGCCAAGUGUCAGUUCCUGUUUUUUCCGUGUUUUUUGACUCUUUUCAGAUCUGAUUUUGGAACGGAGUCCAAACGGAAUAAAAUCCCCGAAAUGAAUUUUUCCAGAACGGAAGAAGAUCGGGAGGCUUGAGGGCCAAUCAAGUGGGCCCACAGGGGGCCCACAAGCCGUGUUGCCGCAGCCAGGGGGAGGCCGCGGCAACCAAGCUUGUGUCCCCCCUGGCGCUCCCCUGCCCUAGGUCUUUGGCCUAUAAAUUCCCUAAAAAUCCAUAAAAAAUAAGGGCAUCCACGCUAGAUCAUUGGCCUAUAUAUUCCCAUAUAUUCAGCAAAAAAUCAAGGGAGCCUCGAAAAUACUUUGCCGCCGCCGCAAGCUUCCGUUUCCACGAGAUCUCAUCUGGAGACCCUUCCCGGCGCCCUGCCGGAGGGGACUUUGGAGUUGGAGGGCUUCUUCAUCAUCAUCAUCGCCCCUCCAAUGACUCGUGAGUAGUUCACUUCAGACCUACGGGCCCGUAGUUAGUAGCUAUAUGGCUUCUUCUCUCUCUUAGAUCUUCAAUACAAAGUUCUCCAUGAUCUUCAUGGAGAUCUAUCCGAUGUAAUCUUCUUUGGCGGAGUGGUUGCCGAGAUCCGAUGAAUUGUGGAUUACUCUGUUCUUAUGGACUUAAUACACUAGAUGCAUGUUGGAUAGCGGUCGACGUGUGGAGUAAUAGUAGUAGAUGCAGAAGGUAUCGAUCUACUUGUUUUGGACAUGAUGCCUAUAGAUAUAAUCAUUGCAUAGAUAUCAUCACAACUUUGCGCGGUUCUAUCAAUUGCUCGACAGUAAUUUGUUCACCCACCGUCUACUUGCUUUCAUGAGAGAAGCCACUAGUAAACACUACGGCCCUCGGGUCUAUUCACAUCCAUCGUUUACACCUCCGCUUUUACUUUGCUUUGUUACUUUGUUGCUUUCAGUUCUCACUUGGCAAACAAUCUAUAAGGGAUUGACAACCCCUUCAUAGCGUUGGGAGCAAGAUUUUGUGUUUGUGCAGGAUCUUGAGAUACUCCUCCAUCGGAUUGAUACCUUGGUUCUCAAACUGAGGGAAAUACUUACCACCGCUACGCUACAUCACCCUUUCCGCUUCGAGGGAACACCAACGCAAGGCUCCAAGGCCACGGGGGAAAUACUUUGCAGACUUGCCUANNNNNNNNNNNNNNNNNNNNNNNNNNNNNNNNNNNNNNNNNNNNNNNNNNNNNNNNNNNNNNNNNNNNNNNNNNNNNNNNNNNNNNNNNNNNNNNNNNNNUUGAUUCUUGCACCAAUAUUUUUUAUAUAUUCCACAAAAAAUCCUCGUAAAAUUCUAGGUCAUUCCGAUAACUUUUAUUUCUGUGCAAAAACAACACCAUGGCAAUUCUGCUGAAAACAACAUUAGUCCGGGUUAGUUCCAUUCAAAUCAUGCAAAUUAGAGUCCAAAACAAGGGCAAAAGAGUUUGGAAAAGUAGAUACGAUGGAGACAUAUCAACUCCCUCAAGCUUAAAGCCUUGCUUGUCCUCGACCAAUUUAGUUGACAAAGUGAAAGAGACAAAAGAAAAACUUUUACGAACUUUGUUUGAUCUUGUUGUUGUAAUUAUGUCUAACUCAUAUUCGGAUUUUCAGCAAGAUCAUACGCUAACCACAUAAGCAAUGUGUGGCUCAUAUCCAGAAUUUCAGCAAGAUCAUAAGCUAACCACAUAAGCAAUGACAUUUAGGUCUCAUGGAAAACUCAUAUCAAUGGCAUAAUCAACUAGCGAGCAAUAAUAAUAAGUUUCAAACGUCAACACUUCAAUCAAAACAAUCAUGAAGCAAUGUGAACAGAUGGUAUCUCGCUAGAUCUUCCUGAGACCGGAAAACAUAAAUGCAUAGCACCUUCAAAGACCAAGGGUUGACUGAACAUUGUAAUUCAUGGCAAAGAAGAUCCAGUCACAGUCAUACUCAAUAACAGUUAAAACUNNNNNNNNNNNNNNNNNNNNNNNNNNNNNNNNNNNNNNNNNNNNNNNNNNNNNNNNNNNNNNNNNNNNNNNNNNNNNNNNNNNNNNNNNNNNNNNNNNNNGUAAUUUUGGUUGCAACAGAAAUGCAUGUUUAGGUGUGGUUUGCUUGCUCUCAUGUUGCUAGAAAUAGUGCUGAUUUGCAGGUGCUGAAAUAUUUCUAAGUCUGAGAUCUGUUAUAUUUUGAUGUUGUCUUGUCUUGCUUCUAUCUUUUGUUCUGUAGCUAUUUUGAGGUUGGUGCAAUGGAGUUAGUUGAAGAUCUUGUGAUUCUCUGGCAAGCUGUGAAUUUUCAUGCCAUUUGGAGUCCUGUAGCUAUAGGUUUUGCUGCUGCCAAUAUGGCUUCAGAUCGAAAACUGCACUUUCAUGAAGUGUAACUUUCACUAAGUCUGAAAUAGUGUUUGAGAUGCCAUUUUGUGUCUNNNNNNNNNNNNNNNNNNNNNNNNNNNNNNNNNNNNGAGAUGCCAUUUUGUGUCUUCUUUUCCUAGUGCUCCUUGUUGCCACGCUAGUUGUUGUCAGCUGUUCGUAGUAGAGCUUCUUGCCCUCUUUCGUGUCAUGCCUUGCUUGAGUUUAUCCGAGUUGUGUAGCCCGUAGUUGUGGGCGUAGAAAAUGCUAUGUGGCUGAUUUUGGCAGAUUGUAGUGAUUUCUUGUUUUGCUCGUAGUUUUUGAUCCGUAGCUCCGAUUUGAUCUUGUCCUAUAUAAAACUUGCUUAGAAUCUUGUGUAGUUUCAUUUUCUCUUGCUGGUUGUAUGUUUUGAAGUGCUCGUGACCGUCGUUGCACACAUGUUGCAUUCAUGCCCUCAUAUCUUGCGGUGCUUGUAUCUUCUGACCCGUAGCUCCGUUGGAGAUGUUCUCUAUGUGUAAAUUGCUUGUAACGACGCGUGGAAUCACGUGAACCUAUUUGUUUUUCUGUUUAACAACUAAUUAAAUGUGUUAGUUCAGAUCUGGAAAGAAUUGUAAAUUAACAUGUGAGGUCGUCUCGGAGAUGCUAUAUGUCAUUUCCGACCUCAUUUAAAAUGCCUAGAUAGGUAGUUUAAUUACGCUUCACCUCUUGCCAUGUUCAACCACAUUUAAUAUUGCCGUGUAUCUAAUCGGGAUAAAGCUANNNNNNNNNNNNNNNNNNNNNNNNNNNNNNNNNNNNNNNNNNNNNNNNNNNNNNNNNNNNNNNNNNNNNNNNNNNNNNNNNNNNNNNNNNNNNNNNNNNNUUCCGAUUACCGGCCCCUUUCUCAUGAGUGAUAGUGAAUAAACGCUUGUCGAGGAUAACACGCCUAGCAUGGAAGAUACUGACCGCCCCUUGCCACCACAUGAGCGAUUCGGGCUUACAAAAUAGAUUAUUAUUUGAAGAUUUAGAGAGUGGCACAUGCAAAUUUACUUGGCACGACAGGUAGAUACCGCAUAUAGGUAGGUAUGGUGGACUCAUACGGAACAACUUUGGGUUUAUGGAAGUGGAUGCACAAGCAGUAUUCCCGCUUAGUACAAGUGAAGGCUAGCAAAAGUCUGGUAAGCGACCAACUAGAGAGCGACAAGAGUCAUCAAUAUGCAUUGAAAUUAACCAAUGUUGAGUGCAAGCAUGAGUAGGAUAUAAAUCACCAUAAACAUGAAUAUCGUAGAGGCUAUGUUGAUUUUGUUUCAACUACAUGUGUGAACAUGUGCCAGGUCAAGCCACUAGAGUCAUUCAAAGGAGGAUACCAUCCUAUCAUACUACAUCAUAAUCAUCUUGAAAUUCAUGUUGGCAUCCAAGACAAACCAUUAUAAGCUCCUAGCUAAUUAAGCAUGGCAUCAGAAACUAUGAUCUCUAAGUUGUCAUUGCAAACAUGUUUCUCUCAUAACAAUGCUGAAUUCGGAACGAUGAGCUAGUCAUAUUUACAAUAACAAAAUAGGUCGAGUUCAUACCAGCUUUUCCAGGCUCAGUCACUUCAUCAUAUAUCGUCAUUAUUGCCUUUGACUUGCACGACCGAAUGAUGUGAAUAAUAAUAAGAGUGUUCAUGCAUUGGACUAAGCUGGAAUCUGCAAGCAAAUUCAGAGGAGAAGACAAAGUAAUAUGGAUUUGUGAUGAAUAAACAAUAAUGCAUAUGAGAGCCACUAAUCAUUUUAAUCAUGGUCUUCUACCUCGACCCAAAGAAAAAGAAAACUAUUUACACCUGAGAGCUCCCAACAAGCAAAAGAAGACCAGGAAAUCUUUUUGGGUUUUCUUUUUAAUUACCACUAAGCAUGCUGGAAAGUUUUGGAGUCGGUUUACUUACCGUAUCACAUACCUCUUCGUUCUUGGAGUCUGAAACAGGCUGGUAAAUAUCCCUUAUGUACUCCUCCGGAGUUAUGGUAUUAAUAAUAUUGCUUUCAACAUUUAUGGAAGUACCUGAGAUAUAAUGCUUGAUUCUUUGCCCAUUUACAACUCUCGGAAAAUUACCUUCUGCGUUGUUGAUUUUGAUGGCACCAGAACGAUAUACUUCCUCAACAAUGUAAGGACCUUCCCAUUAAAGAGAAGCUUGCCUGGAAAAAAAAAUCUUAAACGAGAAUUGUAUAGCAAGACAUAAUCACCUACAUUGAACUCAUGUUUUUGUAUCCUUUUAUCAAGGUCAUGCCUUGAUUGCUUGCUUGUCAAGGAUUCCGAGUUGCGAGCUAGGAUGCGCGUUCCAGCCAGAGUCCCUACAGAGUGGAGUUCAUCACAUCGGUCGUUGUUCUGCUGCUAGUGUAGGAUUUACCAUAGGCAGGUGUAGUAUCGCCAAGCCGAUGUAAUCCAUGCAUCCUUGUAAUAUUUUCAUAGUAAUAAAGAGCUGAUUUGUUCGGUGCCAACGGUUCCGUAUUCCAGAAGACUUGUCCUUGGGCUGGAAUACGGGGCAUUCCGGUUUCCUCUGAGCCGGGGUGCCACAAGAGUUGGUAUCAGAGCAGGUUUGGCUGUAGGACGCCCUAGACCGCGCGAGAGUUAGUAAUCGGUAGUAUAGGAUCCAAUUGGUCUGCUGCACUUGUUUGUCGCAUUUGAUUGUGCAUAGCAUGCAUAUAGACUAGAUAUGUUAUUACUAACGGUGGAUCUGGUGAGUGUAGGUGGCAUCGGUUUCGAUUCACCACAUGCACUCUCUAGCCUGCUUUCUUCUUCCUUGGUGUGGUGUCACCUUCGCUUCAGCGGAGUGAUGCCAAGGUGCCUGGUAAUGUCGAUCCCUUAUCGGAUUGAUGCACCGGUACCACACCAAUGCAUUCUCUUCAGCCGCCCUGUUGUUUCGGUGAUAGACAUGCUUCUAUCUCUGAUCUUGCCCAUCCAUCUAGCCGUGUUGGUAACCCUUACUGAUCUUGCUUAUCAGAAAAGGGUAAUGCCCGCAAGCCCUUCUUUUCAUAGUUAUCCUUCCCUGCCAUUCAUUCUCUGGACGAGUACGGUUCUCUUCCGUACGCUGGAUGAUGACGUGGUCGAGAACAUGUGUUCUGACCCACGAUCACCAAGUUCGUCCUUGCCACCGUGUCUGUCCAGACGGAACUGCUGUAAGCCCCUGUCUGGUGUAGCUUUGUUUACACCAACCCCCUUCCACACAUUGAUUAACCUUCGUGCACACCGCCACAGCAUGUUAGACCGUAGUACCAGAGUUCUUGCGAGAUUUUCGUACUUAAGUAGGAAUGCAUAUUAUUGCUGUGAAUAGUUGUAGAAUAUGACAUGGCCUGUGUGUGAUCUUGCUGCUUUGUGUGUUUGUUGUUUGCUGAUUUCCUUGGGCCCUUGGUGUUACUUUAUUUUCCCCUUAUGGAAGUUGUUCACCAACAUUGGACUCAAAGGAAUUAGUGAAGAGACGGUCAUUUGGUAGCUCAGUUCAGCAAUAUGGCAUUUUCAACAGAAUGCAUUAUAUCGGGAAUAUCGAGCCUGAGUAUAAAGGACAUCCUAACUGGAUGAGUGAUCAGAAGUAAGCAUACAUCAGUACCCCCUUCACAUCAGCAAUCAUGGAAUCAAUGAUAAGGAAGAGAUGCGUACAUUUCGGGCCAAAGGUAUGAUUCAUAUACGCGGUUGAGUCUGUUAUGAGCACAAUUUGAAACCUGCUACACUACGGAAGGAAGUCAGAAGGAGCGAUGAACUUGGUGUUUCAUACGUCUCUGCCAUAUCUACUUUUCCAAACUCUUUUGGCCUUGUUUUGGACUCUAAUUUGCAUGAUUUGAAUGGAACUAAUCCGGACUAGCAUUGUUUUCAGUAGAAUUGCCAUGGUGUUGUUUUUGCGCAGAAAUAAAAGUUCUCGGAAUGACUUGGAAAUUUACGGGGAUUUUUUGUGGAAUAUAUAAAAAAUACUGGCGCAAGAAUCAACCGGAGGGGUGGAGCUGAGAGCCCACAAGCCCACCAGGCGCNNNNNNNNNNNNNNNNNNNNNNNNNNNNNNNNNNNNNNNNNNNNNNNNNNNNNNNNNNNNNNNNNNNNNNNNNNNNNNNNNNNNNNNNNNNNNNNNNNNNUACAAAAGAACAAAAUAACUCUUUUACUGGGAGGGAGUUCACAAAGAAUAGAGCACUACUAAGUAGAAACAUCCAAUUUGAUUCAGGUUUCAAAGAAUUAUCAACCCAGGACGAAUCACAUUUGCAAAUUGCCUAUUGUCUAUCUUAAAUGGUCCAUACACACGUCAAAUGCAUAAGCAAAACAUAAAGUCCAAAGCAUGAUGAUUAGAGAACGCCACGAGGAAUCAUCAACAAAGUAUUGACACAAAGAGAACGGCAAUAUAACUAUGCAAUGAACUAAGCUCUGAGAUAGGAAAAACAAUGACUCGUUAGUCAUUUCGUGUUUAACAAGAUAUACUUGAGUACCUGCUAAAUUGCUAAAGCUGAAAAAAAAUGAGAUAACUGAAAAUCUGAUACAUUAUGAGAAUUAUGCUGCUUGUGGUGGUAACAUGAGCACAAUAUUUUGGAGAUUUUUUUUUCCAAAUGUCUUUGGGAAGUUAAUCAAAUCAGUGCCCCAAGCAAUAAUCGACAUUUAAAGGAUAGUGUUGACCCCUAAUCAAACAAAUAAGAAUGCCAGAUUUACUAACAGAGAACCACAGAUAAACUACCAAACAAAUGCUCUAAGGAACAUACCAAAUAGACAUAUAGGUAAACACUGGUGCAACAAGUUAACCUUGUCAAAUGUGAAUUAAUAGCAAUAAGAACAUAAAGUAACAAACACCAGAGUUUAUUGAAUGAUGUAAACCUUUACACUGCCGGUGCAAGCACAGGGGCUCUCUAGAUUCUUAAUGUCAUCUUCCUCCUGACAAAUACGGCACUCCGUCAUCUGCAGAAGAGGUUCUUCUUCAGGAACCAUGCUGUCUCCAACUGCAAAAAAGGAAUGCCCUGUAAUGGGCAGUGCAGUGGUGUCCCUCGAUGAGGAGCUCUUGGGUGCUCCAGUGACCUCAAUGGGUUCAGGCACCAUUAGGCGAUCAACAUUGAGCAUUAGAUGAUCCUUCACCAUUGCUACUAAGUAACAAAUUUUUGAACAAAAGAACUCUUUUUAAGAUCCUGUUAGAUCCGCUCAGAGUCCAGAAUCUGAUUGCUAAAUAAAUCUUAGUGUCCUG